GAUGAACGCUGGCGGCGUGCCUAACACAUGCAAGUCGAACGGAGCACUUUAACUUGAUUCUUCGGAUGAAGGUUAUUGUGACUGAGUGGCGGACGGGUGAGUAACGCGUGGGUAACCUGCCUCAUACAGGGGGAUAACAGUUAGAAAUGACUGCUAAUAACGCAUAAGACCACAGGGUCGCAUGAACCGGUGGGAAAAACUCUGGUGGUAUGAGAUGGACCCGCGUCUGAUUAGGUAGUUGGUGGGGUAACGGCCUACCAAGCCGACGAUCAGGAGCCGAACGGAGAGGGUGACCGGCCACAUUGGGACUGAGACACGGCCCGAACUCCUACUGGAGGCAGCAGUGGGGAAUAUUGCACAAUGGGGAAACCCUGAUGCAGCGACGCCGCGUGAGCGAAGAAGUAUUUCGGUAUGUAAAGCUCUAUCAGCCAGGAAGAAAAUGACGGUACCUGACUAAGAAGCACCGGCUAACUACGUGCCAGCCGCCGCGGUAA
rnacentral:rRNA from 1 species